rnacentral:rRNA from 1 species
GACAGAGGAUGCAAGCGUUAUCCGGAAUGAUUGGGCGUAAAGCGUCUGUAGGUGGCUUUUUAAGUCCGCCGUCAAAUCCCAGGGUCACCUGACCUGAGCGGUGGAAGACUACCAAGCUGGAGUACGGUAGGGGCAGAGGGAAUUUCCGGUGGAGCGGUGAAAUGCGUAGAGAUCGGAAAGAACACCAACGGCGAAAGCACUCUGCUGGGCCGACACUGACACUGAGAGACGAAAGCUAGGGGAGCGAAUGG